rnacentral:lncRNA from 1 species
GCCAAAUUCAAAUAUUAGAAUAUGACCUUGACCUUUGACCUUGACCUAAUUUUCAUUUUUUGGGACCAAGGACCUCAAAUCAAAAGAUCCUAGGUCUCUAUCACUUAUGAUUUAUAAGAUAGAAAUUCAUAUCACUUAUAUCAGAUGCAUAAGGGGAAAUAACUCUCAUAUGGAGCGGUCAUAUCGCUUCGGUCAAAAUAGGACAAAUCAUGCGAAGGAUAUAACGAGCAAUUUUGUAAAAUAAAUUUGUCAUAAUCUUUUACGGUUGCGAAGGAGAUGCGCUAGCAAGGAAAACAGUGUUUGGGGAGAUAACUGCUACAAAGAAAAGUAUUCGUUUACGCAGGGUAAAUUUCAAAAGUGCAUAAACUGUUCGAUAUCAUAUACCAAAUAUCUAAGCGACAUAUUGCGAAACAAAUGUUUAUCGCAAGAACAAAAUUAGGCGGAAAAAAAAAAAAAAAAAAUAAUCAGAAGAAAAACAAUAGGUCUUUCCACAGAAAAGUGGAAAGACCUAAUAAUCAGAAGAAAAACAAUAGG